rnacentral:rRNA from 1 species
GAUGAACGCUAGCUACAGGCUUAACACAUGCAAGUCGAGGGGUAGCACGGAGGAAGCUUGCUUCCUUGGGUGACGACCGGCGCACGGGUGAGUAACGCGUAUCCGACCUACCCAUUACUCGGGCACAGCCGCUCGAAAGAGUGAUUGAUUCCCGAUAUGUCAUUAGAGUAGAUUUAAUGAUGAAAGAUUUAUCGGUAAUGGAUGGGGAUGCGUAAGAUUAGGUAGUAGGCGGGGUAACGGCCCACCUAGCCGACGAUCUUUAGGGGUUCUGAGAGGAAGGUCCCCCACACUGGUACUGAGACACGGACCAGACUCCUACGGGAGGCAGCAGUGAGGAAUAUUGGUCAAUGGGCGGAAGCCUGAACCAGCCAAGUAGCGUGAAGGAUUACAGCCCUACGGGUUUUAAACUUCUUUUAUAUAAGAGUAAUGUGCACUACGUGUAGUGUAUUGCAAGUAUUAUAUGAAUAAGCAUCGGCUAACUCCGUGCCAGCCGCCGCCGUAAUAC